rnacentral:snRNA from 1 species
GUGCUCGCUUUGGUAGCACAUAUACUAAAACUGGAGUGAUACUGAGAAGAAAUUUUAUGGCCUCUGUGCAAGGAUGACAUGCAAAUUCAUAAAACAUUACAUAUUUUU